rnacentral:rRNA from 1 species
UCGAAAAGCAUGGGUAGCGAACAGGAUUAGAUACCCUGGUAGUCCAUCCCGUAAACGAUGAUUACUAAGUGUCGGAGGGUUUCCGCCCUUCAGUGCUGCAGCUAACGCAUUAAGUAAUCCGCCUGGGGAGUACGACCGCAAGGUUCGAAACUCAAAAGAAUUGACGGGGGCCCGCACAAGCGGUGGAGCAUGUGGUUUAAUUCGAAGCUACGCGAAGAACCUUACCAGGUCUUGACAUCUUCUGACAGUCUAAGAGAUUAGAGGUUCCCUUCGGGGACAGAAUGACAGGUGGUGCAUGGUUGUCGUCAGCUCGUGUCGUGAGAUGUUGGGUUAAGUCCCGCAACGAGCGCAACCCUUAUUACUAGUUGCCACGCACUUCAAGUUGGGCACUCUAGUGAGACUGCCGGUGACAAACCGGAGGAAGGUGGGGACGACGUCAAAUCAUCAUGCCCCUUAUGACCUGGGCUACACACGUGCUACAAUGGAUGGUACAACGAGUCGCGAGACCGCGAGGUUAAGCUAAUCUCUUAAAACCAUUCUCAGUUCGGACUGUAGGCUGCAACUCGCCUACACGAAGUCGGAAUCGCUAGUAAUCGCGGAUCAGCAUGCCGCGGUGAAUACGUUCCCGGGCCUUGUACACACCGCCCGUCACACCAUGAGAGUUUGUAACACCCAAAGCCGGUGGGGUAACCUUUUAGGAGCUAGCCGUCUAAGGUGGGACAGAUGAUUAGGGUGAAGUCG